AUUGAACGCUGGCGGCAUGCCUUACACAUGCAAGUCGAACGGCAGCACGGGUGCUUGCACCUGGUGGCGAGUGGCGAACGGGUGAGUAAUACAUCGGAACGUACCUUAUCGUGGGGGAUAACGCAGCGAAAGCUGUGCUAAUACCGCAUACGCCCUGAGGGGGAAAGCGGGGGAUCGCAAGACCUCGCGCGAUUAGAGCGGCCGAUGCCUGAUUAGCUUGUUGGUGGGGUAAAAGCCCACCAAGGCGACGAUCAGUAGCUGGUCUGAGAGGACGAGCAGCCAAACUGGGUAUGAGACACGGCCCGGACUCCUACGGGAGGCAGCAGUGGGGAAUUUUGGACAAUGGGGGCAACCCUGAUCCAGCAAUGCCGCGUGAGUGAAGAAGGCCUUCGGGUUGUAAAGCUCUUUUGUCAGGGAAGAAACACCGGCUCUAACACAGUCCGGGAAUGACGGUACCUGAAGAAUAAGCACCGGCUAACUACGUGCCAGCCGCCGCCGUAA
rnacentral:rRNA from 1 species